GUGCUCACUUUGGCAACACACACACUGAAACUGGAACAAUACGGAGAAGAUUAGCGUGGCCUCUGUGCAAGUAUAACACACAAAUUCAUGAAGCAGUCCGUGUUUUU
ensembl:snRNA U6 U6 spliceosomal RNA